UACGUAGGGACCAAGCGUUGUUCGGAUUUACUGGGCGUAAAGGGCGCGUAGGCGGCAAUUCAAGUCAUCUGUGAAAUCUCCGGGCUUAACCCGGAACGGUCAGAUGAUACUGCUUUGCUAGAGUGCGGGAAGGGGCAAUCGGAAUUCUUGGUGUAGCGGUGAAAUGCGUAGAUAUCAAGAGGAACACCUGAGGUGAAGACGGGUUGCUGGGCCGACACUGACGCUGAUAGCGCGAAAGCCAGGGGAGCAAACGGGG
rnacentral:rRNA from 1 species